UUUGAUUAUGGCUCAGAUUGAACGCUGGCGGGAUGCUUUACACAUGCAAGUCAGACGGCAGCACGGACUUCGGUCUGGUGGCGAGUGGCGAACGGGUGAGUAAUGUAUCGGAACGUGCCUAGUAGCGGGGGAUAACUACGCGAAAGCGUAGCUAAUACCGCAUACGCCCUUCGGGGGAAAGCGGGGGACCUUCGGGCCUCGCACUAUUAGAGCGGCCGAUAUCGGAUUAGCUAGUUGGUGGGGUAACGGCUCACCAAGGCGACGAUCGUAGCUGGUUUGAGAGGACGACCAGCCACACUGGGACUGAGACACGGCCCAGACUCCUACGGGAGGCAGCAGUGGGGAAUUUUGGACAAUGGGGGAAACCCUGAUCCAGCCAUCCCGCGUGUGCGAUGAAGGCCUUCGGGUUGUAAAGCACUUUUUGGCAGGAAAGAAACGGCACGGGAUAAUACCCGUGCAACUGACAGUACCUGCAGAAUAAGCACCGGCUAACUACGUGCCAGCAGCCGCGGUAAUACGUAGGGUGCAAGCGUUAAUCCAUACUGGGCGUAAAGCGUGCAGGCGGUUCGGAAAGAAAGAUGUGAAAUCCCAGAGCUUAACUUUGGAACUGCAUUUUUAACUACCGAGCUAGAGUGUGUCCAGGGAGGUGGAAUUCCGCGUGUGGCAGUGAAAUGCGUAGAUAUGCGGAGGAACACCGAUGGCGAAGGCGGCCUCUGGGAUGCUUACUGACGCUCAUGCACAGCGUGGGAGCCAAACAGGAUUAGAUACCCUGGUAGUCCACGCCUAAACGAUGUCAACUAGCUGUUGGGGCCUUCGGGCCUUGGUAGCGCAGCUAGCACGUGAAGUUGACCGCCUGGGAGUACGGUCGCAAGAUUAAAACUCAAAGGAAUUGACAGGGACCCGCACAAGCGGUGGAUGAUGUGGAUUAAUCCGAUGCAACGCGAAAAACCUUACCUACCCUUGACAUGUCUGGAAUCGAAGAGAUUUGGGAGUGCUCGCAAGAGAACCGGAACACAGGUGCUGCAUGGCUGUCGUCAGCUCGUGUCGUGAGAUGUUGGGUUAAGUCCGCAACGAGCGCAACCCUUGUCAUUAGUUGCUACGAGGCACUCUAAUGGGACGCGGUGACAAACCGGAGGAAGGUGGGGAUGACGUCAAGUCCUCAUGGCCCUUAUAGGUAGGGCUUCACCGUCAUACAAUGGUCAGGACAGAGGGUCGCCAACCCGCGAGAGGCCAAUCCCAGAAACCCGAUCGUAGUCCGGAUCACGCAGUCGGCGACUGCGUAGGGGAAGUCCCGCGCGGUCGCUGGUAAUGGGCGGAUCAGUAAUGCGCCGCGGUGAAUACGUUCCCGGGUCUUGUACACACCGCCCGUCACACCAUGGGAGUGGGUUUACCAGAAGUAGUUAGUCUAACCGUAAGGAGGGCGAUUACCACGGUAGGAUUCAUGACUGGGGUGAAGUCGUAACAAGGU
rnacentral:rRNA from 1 species